rnacentral:lncRNA from 1 species
GUCUUCUCGGGAGUGCUAGCUCACAUGAAGACCUUCUUCUUGACUAAUCUGGAUCUUUUCUUCAAAUCUCUGAAAUCUUUUUAGAGGUUGAAGAUGGACUUCUAGAGGAGAUGAAGAGGUAAAAUAAAGAUAAAGAAGAAAAUAAUUUUUUUCUAAUUUAGUCUCUCUUUCCAAACCCUUAGAACCAAAAAUUUGAAAUUCAGAUUUUUGCGCAUACCCCA